rnacentral:rRNA from 1 species
AGUGAACGCUGGCGGUAGGCCUAACACAUGCAAGUCGAACGGCAGCACAGUAAGAGCUUGCUCUUACGGGUGGCGAGUGGCGGACGGGUGAGGAAUACAUCGGAAUCUACUUUUUCGUGGGGGAUAACGUAGGGAAACUUACGCUAAUACCGCAUACGACCUACGGGUGAAAGCAGGGGAUCUUCGGACCUUGCGCGAUUGAAUGAGCCGAUGUCGGAUUAGCUAGUUGGCGGGGUAAAGGCCCACCAAGGCGACGAUCCGUAGCUGGUCUGAGAGGAUGAUCAGCCACACUGGAACUGAGACACGGUCCAGACUCCUACGGGAGGCAGCAGUGGGGAAUAUUGGACAAUGGGCGCAAGCCUGAUCCAGCCAUACCGCGUAGGUGAAGAAGGCCUUCGGGUUGUAAAGCCCUUUUGUUGGGAAAGAAAAGCAGCAGGUUAAUACCCCGCUGUUCUGACGGUACCCAAAGAAUAAGCACCGGCUAACUUCGU